rnacentral:rRNA from 1 species
ACCUUUUGUAUAAUGGGUCAGCGAGUUACUUUCAGUGGCGAGGUUAACUGAAUAAGGGAGCCGUAGAGAAAUCGAGUCUGAAUAGGGCGAUAGUCGCUGGGAGUAGACCCGAAACCGGGCGAUCUAGCCAUGUGCAGGAUGAAGGUUGGGUAACACCAACUGGAGGUCCGAACCGGGUAAUGUUGAAAAAUUAUCGGAUGACGUGUGGCUAGGAGUGAAAGGCUAAUCAAGCCCGGAGAUAGCUGGUUCUCCCCGAAAGCUAUUUAGGUAGCGCCUCGUGAAUGAUUACUGGGGGUAGAGCACUGUUUCGGCUAGGGGGCUGUCAUGGCUUACCAAACCGAUGCAAACUCCGAAUACCGGCUAAUUGAAUCACGGGAGACACACGGCGGGUGCUAACGUCCGUCGUGGAGAGGGAAACAACCCAGACCGCCAGCUAAGGUCCCCAAGUACUAGUUAAGUGGGAAACGAUGUGGGAAGGCAUAGACAGCCAGGAGGUUGGCUUAGAAGCAGCCACCCUUUAAAGAAAGCGUAAUAGCUCACUGGUCGAGUCGGCCUGCGCGGAAGAUGUAACGGGGCUAAAACUAGUCACCGAAGCUGCGGAUGUGCGCGAAGGCGCACGUGGUAGGGGAGCGUUCUGUAGGCUGAUGAAGGUGCAUUGAGAAGUGUGCUGGAGGUAUCAGAAGUGCGAAUGCUGACAUGAGUAACGAUAAUGUGGGUGAAAAGCCCACACGCCGGAAGUCCCAGGUUUCCUGCACGACGUUAAUCGGAGCAGGGUGAGUCGGCCCCUAAGGCGAGGCUGAAGAGCGUAGUCGAUGGGAACCAGGUUAAUAUUCCUGGACUUUUUAUAAGUGGUGAAGUGGGGACGAAGAAGGCUAGGUGAGCCAGGCGUUGGUUGUCCUGGU